UACGUAGGGGGCAAGCGUUGUCCGGAAUCAUUGGGCGUAAAGAGCGUGUAGGCGGCCCGGUAAGUCCGCUGUGAAAGUCCAGGGCUCAACCCUGGGAUGCCGGUGGAUACUGUCGGGCUCGAGUCCGGAAGAGGAGUGUGGAAUUCCUGGUGUAGCGGUGAAAUGCGCAGAUAUCAGGAGGAACACCAAUGGCGAAGGCAGCACUCUGGGACGUGACUGACGCUGAGACGCGAAAGCGUGGGAGCAAACAGG
rnacentral:rRNA from 1 species